rnacentral:rRNA from 1 species
GACGAACGCUGGCGGCGUGCUUAACACAUGCAAGUCGAACGGAAAGGCCCUGCUUUUGUGGGGUGCUCGAGUGGCGAACGCGUGAGUAACACGUGAGUAACCUGCCCUUGACUUUGGGAUAACUUCAGGAAACUGGGGCUAAUACCGGAUAGGAGCUCCUGCUGCAUGGUGGGGGUUGGAAAGUUUCGGCGGUUGGGGAUGGACUCGCGGCUUAUCAGCUUGUUGGUGGGGUAGUGGCUUACCAAGGCCUUGACGGGUAGCCGGCCUGAGAGGGUGACCGGCCACAUUGGGACUGAGAUACGGCCCAGACUCCUACGGGAGGCAGCAGUGGGGAAUAUUGCACAAUGGGCGGAAGCCUGAUGCAGCAACGCCGCGUGCGGGAUGACGGCCUUCGGGUUGUAAACCGCUUUCGCCUGUGACGAAGCGUGAGUGACGGUAAUGGGUAAAGAAGCACCGGCUAACUACGUG